CGGCAACAGCCCGAAACUCAAAGGACUUGGCGGUGCUUCAUACCCUUCUAGAGGAGCCUGUUCUAUAAUCGAUAAACCCCGAUAAACCUCACCAAUCCUUGCUAAUACAGUCUAUAUACCGCCAUCUUCAGCAAACCCUAAAAAGGAACAAAAGUAAGCUCAAUCACAGCACAUAAAGACGUUAGGUCAAGGUGUAACCCAUGGAGUGGGAAGAAAUGGGCUACAUUUUCUACCUCAAGAA
rnacentral:rRNA from 1 species